rnacentral:rRNA from 1 species
AUUGAACGCUGGCGGCAUGCCUUACACAUGCAAGUCGAACGGUAACAGGUCUUCGGAUGCUGACGAGUGGCGAACGGGUGAGUAAUACAUCGGAACGUGCCUAGUAGUGGGGGAUAACUACUCGAAAGAGUGGCUAAUACCGCAUGAGAUCUACGGAUGAAAGCAGGGGAUCGCAAGACCUUGUGCUACUAGAGCGGCCGAUGGCAGAUUAGGUAGUUGGUGGGGUAAAAGCUUACCAAGCCGACGAUCUGUAGCUGGUCUGAGAGGACGAUCAGCCACACUGGGACUGAGACACGGCCCAGACUCCUACGGGAGGCAGCAGUGGGAAUUUUGGACAAUGGGCGCAAGCCUGAUCCAGCAAUGCCGCGUGCAGGAUGAAGGCCUUCGGGUUGUAAACUGCUUUUGUACGGAACGAAAAGCCCCGGGUUAAUACCCUGGGGUCAUGACGGUACCGUAAGAAUAAGCACCGGCUAACUACGUGCCAGCCGCCGCGGUAA